UACGUAGGGGGCAAGCGUUGUCCGGAAUCAUUGGGCGUAAAGCGCGUGUAGGCGGUCCAGUAAGUCCGCUGUGAAAGUCGGGGGCUCAACCCUCGGAUGCCGGUGGAUACUGUCGGGCUUGAGUACGGAAGAGGCGAGUGGAAUUCCUGGUGUAGCGGUGAAAUGCGCAGAUAUCAGGAGGAACACCAAUUGCGAAGGCAGCUCGCUGGGACGUUACUGACGCUGAGACGCGAAAGCGUGGGGAGCAAACAGG
rnacentral:rRNA from 1 species